AUUGAACGCUGGCGGCAGGCCUAACACAUGCAAGUCGAGCGGAUGAAGGGAGCUUGCUCCUGGAUUCAGCGGCGGACGGGUGAGUAAUGCCUAGGAAUCUGCCUGGUAGUGGGGGAUAACGUCCGGAAACGGGCGCUAAUACCGCAUACGUCCUGAGGGAGAAAGUGGGGGAUCUUCGGACCUCACGCUAUCAGAUGAGCCUAGGUCGGAUUAGCUAGUUGGUGGGGUAAAGGCCUACCAAGGCGACGAUCCGUAACUGGUCUGAGAGGAUGAUCAGUCACACUGGAACUGAGACACGGUCCUGACUCCGACGGGAGGCAGCAGUGGGGAAUAUUGGACGAUGGGCGGAAGCCUGAUCCAGCCAUGCCGCGUGUGUGAAGAAGGUCUUCGGAUUGUAAAGCACUUUAAGUUGGGAGGAAGGGCAGUAAGUUAAUACCUUGCUGUUUUGACGUUACCAACAGAAUAAGCACCGGCUAACUUCGUG
rnacentral:rRNA from 1 species